rnacentral:lncRNA from 1 species
GAGAAACAGCAAGGAAAGGGAAGGUGUCAGGAGUUGUUGGACUAUGAUUCCAGGGACUAAACUCUCAGGAUUCUGGUCUCUUCACCUCCCAAUGCUUGGCGGUCGGAUUUACCCUCGACCCUGGGAGCCUGCCCUUAGCCUACAGUCAAAUAGCUCCCUUUUUCCUUUGGACUAGUUUAAAUUGUGUCUCUGUCGCUUCCCGUUCAGAGGAAUACACACUCCAUUUGCCAGGCUCCCUUUGUGGAAUUCACCGGCUGGGAAGGUUGACCUGACCACUUGCUUUGUGAGCAUGAGGAAUGGAGGACACAAACCACACUCAAGAAGGUCUUCCUGAGUGCUGAAGGUCAAUCAACUAGAACUUUCUCAAGCUUUUAGAGGAGUGGAAUUCUGGAAACAAAACCUCUUCCCCGGGAGCGGCCGUCAGCAGUAGGGUGGGAUGAACUCAGCGCCCCCUGCACACCCGGUGUCCACCUGUCGUGCAGCUGAGUCAGAACCAUCCAGAUAGAUGAGGGAAGAGAAAGAAACCCCAGCACCCCACGUUGUGAAACCAGCACCCAGAUUUCUGUCUGUAAAAACCCUGCUGAUCUCCCCGGGCAGGAUGCAGAGCCAUGGUUGCCAGGCGCUGGGCAAAGGCGGAAGUGAGCAGUCGAUGCUCACCCGGGACCCCGGGUUUCCUUGUGGGGUGAUGAGAGCAUUCUAAAAUUACUGUGCUGGUGACUCACGACCCGAGCGCGCACUGAAUGCAGCUGAAGUGUGAGUCGUACAGCAUGUGAACUCUGUCGUUCUGUUGGCUUGGUUUGGGCUUUUGGUUUGGGCAUUCUGACUAAGCAGCCCCCAGGCUGGUCUCGAACCCUCCGGUGCUGGAACGCAGACAUCACAGUUUGACAUGGACGGCACUGCCAACUUCUGCUCCCGACUCUGGCCCUACGACCUUGGACCACGGUGUUGUCAGCUUCAGUACACUGACCUUGGGAGAACACUCGCUUAGGCUAGCCUGGUCUACUGAGCAAGUUCUAGGACAGCCGCCAAAGCUACGGAGAAUCCCUGUCUCGAAAAACCAUAAAGAAACAUCGUUGGGGUUUUAUCAGGCCAACAGACUCCUCUAAUCAUCUGUGCCUUUGGCUGUGCAGCGUCUGUCACCUGUCUUCCCUCUGGGGAUGCAGUGAUGCUGUUUUACUAGCUGGCGCUCAGCUGGUCCCCGUUCUCAGGGGCAUCAUGUUGGUUGCCUGAAAUCUGCCACAAGAGAAGUGUUUCCACCAGAGACACUGGCAAAGGCGUGCAAUAUUAUCACGGCUAAUUUCUGCCUUUGGACAUUGGACUCAAGACCUUGUAUGCAAGCUAAGCAAGUACUCCACCGCCGAGUUACAACCCUUGUCUCCCACUCUUUGCCUGGACUGUUUCUGCUUACCCUCCAAGACGGUUCUGUCAGGCAGUCUUGGAUUCCCAUGGAGCAAUAUGGAGAAGCAAUCAACUUCUCUGUUAAGUGUGUGGGGCUGAGUGCUGUGCAAACAUAACUUCCUGCCUCCAUCAAAGCCUUCGAAUCUCGUCGUCGUCGUCGGUAUUUGUUUGACUGUCUCCCCAGUAGCUUCUGUGGGCGAAGAACAACUAUCUAUGUUGGUCUGUAAAACCCUCCAGGGAGGGAACUUACAUAGUGAGGUCUUUGCGAAUGCCUUCCUAUUUAAUUAAGUAGAAACUAGGGGGAGAAACUGCAUUGCUUUCCCUGUGUGCGCUACCAACGUCGUGAGUGGUGCUGACUAUUUUCUCAAGAGCUUCAGAGGGACAGGUAAAAUCUGACUCUACAUAACAAAACUGUACAAGGGCACUAACAGUCUACUGUUUCUGGGCCGUUGACAGGUGCGCUUGGGGCUGCAAGAACCGAUGUAUGAAGCUGGAAAUGUUAUGUCUCUGAGAUUAGCAAUCAGUGGUUUCAGUGGAGUUUUCAAUAGGAGAGGUCCCUGAUUUGAGGAUGUAACUGCAGAAGACAAUCGUGACAGUUCAGAGGAGUGGAAAGGAACGCUGGCCUUGGAGGAAGUGGUCAAUGGUGCUGAACAGGAAGUGUUGUAGAGUUCAAAAGAUUAGGGGCCUAAGAGGAGACAGUUCCAGGUAAGAGGAGACGGUUACAGGUAAGGUACCCGGAACUGUUCUACACGAAAGAGUCUGGGGUGUCCCAGAGAGAGUUGUGAUUGUGAAAACCUUUUUCAAACGGUAGUUUGGCCCUCAAGUCAGCUUUGCAAACAACAGAGGCAUCAGAACACCCGGUUUUAGUCAGAAUUGUGAAUUUUUUUUAUUUUUAAAUAAGAUUUAAUUUUAUUUUUUAUUUGUCUGUGUCCGGUGCCCAGGAAGGUUGGGCGAGAGCGUCAGAUCCCCUGGAAUUGGAGUUACAGGUGGCUGUGAGGCUUCUAACCCAUGCUGGGAACCAAACUCUGGAGCAGCUAGCUCUCAGAACUCCUGCGCCAUCUCUCCAGCUCUUUUAUUUUUGUGACAGAGUCCCAUGUAGCCCAGGCUGGUUUCAAACUCACUAAGUAGUUGGGGAUGAUCUUGAACUCCUGGUCCUCCUGUCUCCACCUCCUAAGUGUUGGAAUUCCAAGUACGACCCACUAUACCAGACCUGAUGAGCACUUACUGAGAAAGGAGAAAAAUUAAUUCACCCUUUCUGUGACUUCCCACUACUGUACCCUGUGUUCAUGAGUCCUAUGAACAAGGAGGCAGCUGCACUUUGUACUCACGGAAAGACUAAGAAUUUUCACAGACAGCACAAACUCCAGGAGAGAUUUGCUAAUCAAAGCACAGACCUCUGGAUAAGAGUAUCCAAGGAGGGGCUGGAGAGACGACUCAGUGGUUAAGAGCACUGGCUGCUCUUCCAGAGGUCCUAAGUUCAAUUCCCAGCAACUACAUGGUGGCUCACAACCAUCUAUAAUGAGAUUUGGUGCCCUCUUCUGGCGUGCAGGGAUACAUGGAGGCAGAGUGUUAUAUACAUAAUAAAUAAAUAAGUCUGAAAAAAAGAAUACCUAAGGAAUAUCAUUCAACUAAAGCGAAGGGCAGAGUUUUGAUUAUUUUAAAAUCAUAUUUAUUUUAUGUGUGUAAGUGUUUUGCCUGCAUGUUUAUAUGUAUCCUUUGUGUGUGUGUUGUACCCUCAGUGGUCAGAAGAGGGCAUCAGAUCCCCUGGGACUGGAAUUACGGACAAUUAUGGUCUUCUGCAAGAGUAACAAGAGCUCUUAACCAUUGAGUCAUCUCUCCAAAAUAUAAACCCAUAUAUAUAUAUAUAUAUAUAUAUAUAUAUAUAUAUAUAUAUAUAUACACCCAUCCCUUCCUCAGUAGCCACCUGUCUGGGACAUAAGAAGCACGGAGUAUAUAGUUUUUAAAAUGAAUAUAAGUAGGCUAAAUUAGCAGAUGGCUUUUGCAUGGAGUUUGUCAUUUGUUUGUCUGUUUUCCAGGGUGCCAAAGAUAGAACCCAGCAGCCUCAUACAUGCUGGGCAAAUGUUGUUUCAGAGAUCUGAAUCAUACCCAUAGCUGAUAAAUCAUUAUUAUGUACAUAUUAUGUAAAAAAGAGAGUCGAUGAACCCUUCUAGACUUCAGCAUAAGAACCAACUUUAACAACCAAGGUCAAACCUAGCCAACUCAGGGAGAGGGCAGGGGGUGGGGCUGAGGGCAGAGCUGGGGCCGGCAGGGGUGGGGCCGGAGAAGGAGAGGGGGCACUGCCCACUUCUAAGUGAGUCUUAACACUUAGACUAUGGAAUAAUCCUUUGUGGUCACUGUGACUAUGUAUUCCUCUCAUUGGUCUAAUAAAGAGUUGAAUAGCUAGGCGGAGGAGCUGAACUGAGAGCCACACUGAGAGGACACUGGAAAGAAGACGGGCACAGUCAUGGGGUACAGGGGACACGCCUCCUCGGGGCUGGCUACAGGUGUGCCCGACCAUGCCCACCAGGGCGUGGUCAGGGUGACAUGGGGGAAGGUUUAAGAGUGAGAGGCAUGCACAUGGGAGCCCCUUCUUCCUUUUCACUAUUGGCUUGCUGCACUUACUCCGUGCCCUGCCUGCUGGCUAGGUUGCUCUCUGUAAGUAAGGCAUCUCCCUAAUAAAUACCUUAAUAUCUUUACCUGACUCUGUAUUGGUAAUUCACUCAUUAAACAUACCUUAAUAUCUCUUCUGGCUCCAUAUUGGUAUUCACCUUAUAAUGGGGGGUCACCAGUGAGAUGCAGAGAAAGCAGGAGAUGAACACGCCCAGCUGAAACAAGGUACCUCCACAUGGUAGAGCAUGGAUAAGAAUAUGCAUUGAUUUAAGAUGUAAGAGCUGGUUAGUAAUAAGCCUAAGCUAUUGGCCCAGCAUCAUUAAGUCUCUGUGUGAUUAUUUGGGAGCUGGCUGGCUGGACAGAGCUGGCUGGUGUGAUGAAAACUCUGCCAACAACACCUCACUUCCCAAAGGUUCCACCAGCUCCCAGUAGUACUCUCCUGGGGACCAAACGUUUAGAAUAUAUGCUUUUGGGAGAUACUCAAUAUCCAAACUAUAACACCUUCACAUAACACAUGCAAGCAUCUACAUACUUAAGUACUUCUAUACACACAUAUGUAUAGCUGUGAAGGGACCAGCUCCCCAUUUCAGCAGCCAUAACAGCCUAACACGUGCUUGCCUGAUCUUGCCUUGGUCACUAGGAGGUCAGGUGCCUGACUUGUGGCAAGGAACCAAUCAGAAGUUAUCUGGUGGUGCUAUGAUUUACGGCUCUGGGUGUACUUUACAGACAAGUGCACAGCAAUGAUGCACAGAGCAUAGCAACCACCCUGGGAGGGCCUAUGGGCCAUAACAACCAGUUGGCCAAUCAACACAGGGCAAGCCCUCCAAGCCUGGAGGCACACCAAUCCUGAGCCUGUGUGUACCCCUAGACACUCCCCUUAUGCUGCCCUACAAGAUCUCUAUGCAGGUGCUUCGAGCUGUCUUUUCUAGCCAUCCGCCAUGGUGGGUGGAUGAAAGACCCGAGCUAACAUGGGGUUAGCUCAUUAAACAACUACAAUAAAGCCUCGUGUGGUUUGCAUCAAGCUUUCGCCUCCACCUGGUGAUUGGGGUGGCCGUGGUCCUGGACCGAGAUCCUGGGGACCAAGCCUCCGGGGGUCUUUCAGCUGUAUACAUAUGCAUACUUGUAUCAACAUUUAAGUACAGGAUAAAGGAAGAUAAAGAAUAUGUGCUACCAUCUUGCUCUUUUCUUUUCUUUUCUUUUCUUUUCUUUUCUUUUCUUUUCUUUAAUGAGACAAAGGUUCACUGUGCAGCCCUGGCUGGCCUGGAACUCACCCUGUAGAUCAGGCUGGCCUCCAACUGUCAGGGGACUCCACCUUGUGCCUCAUGAGUGCUGGGAUUAAAGAUGUCUCCAGCCUAUUUUUGUUGUUGUUGUUUCCAAAACAGGCUGUUGUGUAGCUUAGGCUGGCCUCUGACUCGGUAUGCAGUCACCCUGUCUCUGUCUCCUGAGUGUGGGGGUUACAAACAUGCUUGGUUCUGGUAUUGUCCAUUUCUGGAAAAUAUUUUUAAGUCAUUUAGGAAGUUCUGACUAAUCUUUUCUAUGGGCUAGCAGUGAGAGGGUCAGUAUGAGUGCCCAGGACACCUGGUGUGAGGGUGCUGUCAAGCUGACAACUAACCUGGGAGCUGUAUCUCUAAACGUGCGCAUGCGUGUGUGGAUUCUCUUGUGUGGUGUUGGCCCCCAUAAUCUCAUAGGGAGUGGCCCUAUUCAGAGGUGUGGCUUCUUUGGAGUGGGUGUGACCCUGCUGGAGGAAGUUUGUCACUGUGGAGCGGCGUUGAUGGCUUAAGCUUUGCUCAGUGUCACAGUUAGUUGAGUUCCUGUUGCCCUCCAAGAUGUGGGACUCUUAUCUCUGGCGUCACAUCUACCUGCACGCCGCCAGGCUCCCUGCCAUGAUGAUAAUGGACUGAACCUCUGAAACUGAACUGACUUGGUGAAGAACCCCUGGCCACUAAGACAGAGCUUUCUUUUAAGCGCCCCACACGGUUUUGCAUCGUUGGUCACCUUGGAAAGAGCUUCUGUUUUCCCCAGUGCCGCCUUUGUUCCACAUUUGGAGCCCAGAACGGGGAAGUGGAAUGAUAUGGAACAUGGAAAUGCAAGUCUAUCACCAGGGCCGUACGAGUCAUUUGGAACAAAAGCAUUUUUAUUUGCCUAGUGCUCAGAAAGUCACGCCAAGAGAUCCAGGGAGGAACUUUGGGUCUCUCUUCCUCCAAAUCACUUCCUCACUCUUAUUCUCUCUCAGGUGGCCAAGACAUGGCAGUCUUGACUGCUAACAAAAUGCCAUUGUGACAUCUCAAUGGCAUGAUUCACGGCGUCUCGGAUGGUUUUUAUUGGGUACUUUCCACAUAUUUCAGGGUACAGCCUUGGCGUCUAUCAGCUGAUUGACUUGGCACAGGAACUCCAUGGGGUGGGAUUUACUGUCCACAGUUAAGGGACUGUGUGUGGCUCACACACAGUCAGCAAUGCCGUAGAGCAGCUCUUGAUUUUAACUGACCCAACUUACACGAUUUGGUAAUUUUAGACUUUGUCCUGAGCCUUGGAAAAUAAGUUCAGUUUUUGUCUCUGGAGUUAGGAAGAAGGCGAAGAGCUAAUAUAAACCCAAGGCAGAUGGACGAAAACUCUUUAGGAUUGUGUGGGUGACUGGGAGCUCUCUGGCUUCUCUGAAGUAUCUGUCUACUGACUGGGGUUUUAGUUGAGGGUUCCUGCUAGAAAACACCAUGAUCGAAAUCAACUUGGGGAGGCUUACACUUCCAUAUCACAGCUCAUCACCAUAGACCAUCAGGGCAGGAACUCAACGCAGGAACCUGGAGGCAGGAGCUGAAACAGAGGCCACGCAGGAGUGAUGCUCACCGGCUUCCUCCUCCAGGCUUGCUCAGCCUGCUUUCUUAUACAGCUUAGGACCAUCUGCCCAGGGCUUGCACCACCUGUACUGGGCUGAGCCUGCCCACAUCUGCCAUUAAUCAAGAAAAAUGCUCUACAGCUAUUUUCUUAAUCGAGUGUUCCUCUUCCCAAAUAGCUUGUGUCAGGUUAGCAUGAAACUAAUCAAGACAGUAGGUGAGGCUAAUCACAUCCCAGAGGUCUCACCUCUCAUCAUUGCUACAAUGGCAAUUAGAUUUCAACGUGAAUUUGCGCAGGGGGGGGGGAAGACAUCAAACCAUAGGAUAACUGAAUGUAUGCUUAGGUACCUGGCUGAAUAUUUCCUCCAAAUAAUCUUGUCUGUCCAUAGGGAUAAACAAGUAUGGUCACUCCAAAGGGACCAGAUCCCCAUUUCGGCAGCCAUAACAGCCUAACACGUGCUUGCCUGACCUUGUCUUGGUUACUAGGAGGUCAGAUACCCACCUCGUGGCAAGGAACCAAUCAGAAGUUAGCUGGUGGUGCUAUGCUUUACAGCUCUGGGUGUGCUUUACAGACAAGUGCACAGCAAUGACAUGCAGAGCAUAGCAACCACCCUGGGAGGGACCAUAACAACCAGUUGACCAAUCAACACAGGGCAAGCCUGGAGGCACACCAAUCCUGAGCCUGUGUGUACCCCUAGAUAAUCCCCUUACGCUGCCCUACAAGAUCUCUGUCCUGUGGUUUCUCGGGGUCUUUCCCCAGCCAUCCACCCUGGUGGAAGGAUGAAAGGCCUGAGCUAAUGGGGUUAGCUCAUUAAACAACUGCAAUAAAAGACUCAUUGCUUUUGCAUGGAAAUGGGCCUCUUGGUGAUUUUGGGGCUCAGAAUUUGGGCAUGACACACUCCAUUUUAAAAAGUUCUUCUAUUUUAAAUAAUUACAAUUCCUG